GACGAACGCUGGCGGCGUGCUUAACACAUGCAAGUCGAACGGAAAGGCCCUGCUUUUGUGGGGUGCUCGAGUUGCGAACUUGUGAGUAACACGUGAGUAACCUGCCCUUGACUUUGGGAUAACUUCAGGAAACUGGGGCUAAUACCGGAUAGGAGCUCCUGCUGCAUGGUGGGGGUUGGAAAGUUUCGGCGGUUGGGGAUGGACUCGCGGCUUAUCAGCUUGUUGGUGGGGUAGUGGCUUACCAAGGCUUUGACGGGUAGCCGGCCUGAGAGGGUGACCGGCCACAUUGGGACUGAGAGACGGCCCAGACUCCUACGGGAGGCAGCAGUGGGGAAUAUUGCACAAUGGGCGGAAGCCUGAUGCAGCAACGCCGCGUGCGGGAUGACGGCCUUCGGGUUGUAAACCGCUUUCGCCUGUGACGAAGCGUGAGUGACGGUAAUGGGUAAAGAAGCACCGGCUAACUACGUG
rnacentral:rRNA from 1 species